CACAGCUGCUGAUUCUGAGAAGUGUUCUGUUUAAGUCCAGCCCAUCUUCUCUCCACCAUUCCACACACACACAGCCACAUCAUCCCUGCUUCACCCGGCAUACCAGGAGGAGGCAGGAAGGACUUUGGAAAACUUUUAUACUGAAUGCAGAACUUGGUACUCCAGAUCAAACUGCAGAAGUAAAUGAUAAUCCUUCCCCUUCAAGGCCCUCACAAUUGAGUAAGAGUUCAAAGAAAAAUUUACUGCACAGUCCCCAGAGCACCAUCACUUCUAAGACUGUGACCUGCUUACAGAUCCACUCCUCUGCCCCCACAGUCCACAUGUCCACCCUGGGGGCCAUGGCUUAUUGAUUCUUCCAUGUAUCAGCCCAAGAAUCCCCUGCUGCCUUCUGAAUAAAGGGUGCAAAUACACGAAGCCUGCUCACGAAUCAACAUAAAACUUGGCUUCCGAUCCCGCUUCCCUGCCUGUCUGCUUCCACACUUUUCACUCACGGACUUUCCUGCUCCCCCGGGCACCUUGUCUCCUUUUCCAUCUGUGCUGACCCUUUGGCUUAGUGACUCAGCUUUUGGAUUGGCCACUUGGCUGGGCCCUUGGUCCCUGCAAAACUGAGUUUCCUGUAUCUGUGCUCUGUCAACUCUGAGUCAGCCAAACAGCUGAGGUCAUUCUCUACUUGUCACCACCGAUGAGGACGGAGAGCCAACACCACCAGUCAGUCACCCAAGCUGGAAAUUUAAGCAUCAUCAUUUCUUCUUUUCCUUCCCAGCCCUCCCAUCGCUGCUUGCAGGCCAGUGAGUUCCACCCCAGGAAUGUUCCACCCCAGUGUAUAUAUUUCCUUCUGAAGUCCCAUCCCCAUACUGCUUGAGAUCGGGGCUCAUAAUUCCCCCAAUAAACCACUGUCCAGCCUCCUGCCUCACCUCUAUCUAGCCUCUAGUCUGUGCCUCCAGUUCUUUACACCCUGCCACAGUGACUGCAAGUCUGGUCCCAGUGCUGCCCUGCGGAGAAACCUCCACAGGUUCCCACUGCCAGGGGACCAAGUUGAAGCUCUUUGCGAGAACUGCGCCCUCUCGCUAUGGCCAGCCCACCACUCCAGCUCAGCCCUCCUCCCACAGGCCACACUUGUUCAACACGCUGAACCUUUGCCUUUCCCAAGGGCUUCCACCAUCCUUUAAAUCUGCCCACAUUGUUCCUUCUGCCAAGAGUGACCAUGUGGUCUGGUUUGCCCAGAACAACCUGUUUACGCCUAUUUUCUGGUGUAAUUAUUAAUUAACCACCCUCCCCCUCCACCCGCCCAAGUGUCCUGGUUUGAACAAGUUACAUGGUCAGAUUACAUUUGCCUUAAUUCUUCACCUGGCAAAUCUCUGCU
rnacentral:lncRNA from 10 species